ACGGGUGCGUAACGCGUGGGAAUCUGCCCUUGGGUUCGGAAUAACAGUUAGAAAUGACUGCUAAUACCGGAUGAUGUCUUCGGACCAAAGAUUUAUCGCCCAAGGAUGAGCCCGCGUAAGAUUAGCUAGUUGGUGGGGUAAUGGCCCACCAAGGCGACGAUCUUUAGCUGGUCUGAGAGGAUGAUCAGCCACACUGGGACUGAGACACGGCCCAGACUCCUACGGGAGGCAGCAGUGGGGAAUAUUGGACAAUGGGCGAAAGCCUGAUCCAGCAAUGCCGCGUGAGUGAUGAAGGCCUUAGGGUUGUAAAGCUCUUUUACCAGGGAUGAUAAUGACAGUACCUGGAGAAUAAGCUCCGGCUAACUCCGUGCCAGCAGCCGCGGUAAUACGGAGGGAGCUAGCGUUGUUCGGAAUUACUGGGCGUAAAGCGUACGUAGGCGGUUACUCAAGUCAGAGGUGAGAGCCCGGGGCUCAACCCCGGAACUGCCUUUGAAACUAGGUAGCUAGAGUCUUGGAGAGGUUAGUGGAAUUCCGAGUGUAGAGGUGAAAUUCGUAGA
rnacentral:rRNA from 1 species